CCGCUCUCCAUUUCCUUCCCCUCCGGUAGAGUCCUGGCCGGGGAGGGGACCCGGAGAGGGGCGGAGCCUGAGGGCUCCGUAGCCCGCCUCACCCAGCGCAGCUUCCCGGAAGACUCUGAAAGAGCAAGCAUGCCCAUUCUUCCAGACUGAGAUCUUACAGAGAAAACGUCUCACCUGAAUUCCACCCAGAACAAUUCUCAACCUAGAAAAUGGUCUCCUAAACGACUGUAAUUAUGAGCAUCUUCCAGACGCGGCAGAGACCGCUAGCUACUCACAGGUAGUGCAUGCCACCUCCGCCCGCAGCACAGUGCGACAACGCCCAACCUUUCUCCAGGUUGCUACAGGGAGACUCUAAACUAGAGGUAGAGUGGAAGAGCCUGGGUUCCAGAGUUACCUGGUGGGCAACAUCUGCACCCCACUGAUCUGCACAGCUGCAGGGUAUGAAGUUGCCUUCUGCUGUCAGCACCUCUGCAUGUCCCAGGCGUCCCCAUCUCAGCAGCUGUAGCCUACUCUAAAAUGACAUCUGAUAAACUAUUGUUCUGGAGAGAGUGAUAAAAUGAAUGUUUCUGAAUUUUCACCUGCAAAAAUAAUGGCAAUAAAAACAGUCAGUCAUUAGAUGUAAGAUCAGGGAAUAAAGUAAGAAAUUAAAUUUCUAACUUGUGCAGAUGUUUUGUUCUAUGGCAGUCUUACUGUGCUGCCCCCUCUGCCUCAGCUCCCCAAAUAAUUGGACUCUAGGUGAAUGCUACCAUGUCUAGUCAAAAUGUUUAUUUUUUAAGAAGAUUGGAAAACUUAUCUUUUUAUAUUUCGUACGCUCUCAGUUUUUUAUUGUAUAAAAAUGGUUUCCAGAUACUGAAAAA